CGACCGGCGCACGGGUGAGUAACGCGUAUCCAACCUGCCUUACACUCUUGGACAGCCUUCUGAAGGAGAUUAAUACAAGAUGUUAUCAUGAGUAAGCAUUUUGCAUGAUUAAAGGUUUACCGGUGUAAGAUGGGGAUGCGUUCCAUUAGAUAGUAGGCGGGGUAACGGCCCACCUAGUCUUCGAUGGAUAGGGGUUCUGAGAGGAAGGUCCCCCACAUUGGAACUGAGACACGGUCCAA
rnacentral:rRNA from 1 species